GAUUUAGCUUUAGAACCUGUGGUUUGUUUGUAUCGCCGUUGUUCGUAUGUGGUGGAUAUCCAGAUUAUUGUAGGAUGAGUUUACGCUCGUGCUGGGAUACCGAGAUUACUUUACAGUAGUAUGUAGACUGUUUUGAACUAUCGGGUGCCGUCGCGGUUGACAGUAGACCCAGAUUUCUGUAUUUUGCCUCAGAUUGUGCCAAGAGC
rnacentral:lncRNA from 1 species